GACGAACGCUGGCGGCGUGCUUAACACAUGCAAGUCGAACGGAAAGGCCCAGCUUGCUGGGUGCUCGAGUGGCGAACGGGUGAGUAACACGUGGGUGAUCUGCCUCUAACUUCGGGAUAAGCUCGGGAAACUGGGUCUAAUACCGGAUAGGACAAUCGUUUAGUGUCGGUUGUGGAAAGUUUUUUCGGUUAGGGAUGAGCCCGCGGCCUAUCAGCUUGUUGGUGGGGUAAUGGCCUACCAAGGCGUCGACGGGUAGCCGGCCUGAGAGGGUGGACGGCCACAUUGGGACUGAGAUACGGCCCAGACUCCUACGGGAGGCAGCAGUGGGGAAUAUUGCACAAUGGGCGCAAGCCUGAUGCAGCGACGCCGCGUGGGGGAUGACGGCCUUCGGGUUGUAAACCUCUUUCGACAGGGACGAAGCUUUGGUGACGGUACCUGUAUAAGAAGCACCGGCUAACUACGUG
rnacentral:rRNA from 1 species